rnacentral:pre_miRNA from 1 species
GGAAUAUAAGAAAUUGUUUCUUAACUUUUAACUAAAAAUGGUAAGAACCGACUCUUAAAUUAUUUAAGAGCCGGUUCUUAACUUUUUUAGUUAAAGGUUAAAAUAUGGUUUUUUAUAUUCU